AAUAUAAACACCAAACCAAACAGACGUUUAUAAUAAAGCUUAAGCCCGGUGAAAUAGCGGCAGCAGACCAACCGCAUACAAUUGAUGAGCGACGCAUAACUGUUGACUUGACUUCGACUGCUGCUGGUCGACGCUAUGUACAAUGAAGUCAGCGAAGAAGUUGACGUCAGCUACCCGCUUUACAGGUGCUUGUGUAUAACGAAAAGCAUAACAAAAUUUUAACGAACAAUAUAUACAACACACAAUUUGCUACGAAUAAAACGCAGUGCCAAAGCGUAAUAUCAGCCGGAAUUAUUUUCAACAGUCCUAACGAAUUCCGUAUCUCAUUCAUUGAUUCAACAAUGUAAAGGCAAAUACGUUCGUCGCUAAACUGAAAUCCAAAUUGUGAGCUGAGAAUUCUUCAAGAGCAGCAAAAUAAAUGUUGUUAGCUAAACGUGUCGGAACGGGGAAGAGAACAACUUUUCCCCAUCUAUUUGGCAAUAUAGCCAUGUCGGGU